UUCCUUCCCAUCAGCCCCUGUGCUGGACCGCGGGGACCCUGGCGUCCCUGCUUAGAACCCACGCAGCGUCUCGGGCCGGCUAGGGGUACACCAAAGCGGACAAAAGCCACUGAGGGGAAGGACCUCGGCAAAACCUGAGUCCUGUCCUCUCGCUUUCCUCCCCGUACACAGCGAGCUUCACCACUUGCUCCGCACCUUCUCCAUCAACUACUACCUGUCCCUGGGAUCUGUCCAGUCGCCCAGCUAAAGUGCUCAGCAGGUCAGCAGCGCGGCGAGCUUCUAUGAGGCGUGGGGUCUGGGGCUCCUGGAUCUCUGUGUCCCAUUUCACAGAGAUUGCCACCUACUGCCGCCUGCUAGAAGAUGGGGAGGACUUCAAUCUUGGUGGUAUUCUGGACAGCAGCAAAUACCUGUAAAGCAUCCAAAAGACC
rnacentral:lncRNA from 1 species